rnacentral:lncRNA from 1 species
GUGAACACCUUAUAAGUAAGUAUUUACCACAAGUGAAAUAUCUAUUUUUUUUGGAAGUUAAAUAUUUUUUUUCUUAAUGAUUCUUUCACUAUCGACCAAAUUAUAGUAAAAUGAUUUGUCUUAAUAAUUUUCUUUUCUUUUUUUAACUAUUAUUCAUUUAGAAACUAUAAUAUGAAAUCACUGGUUCGACAUCACCAUUAUCUAAGAUUCAUAACAUGAAAACAAACAAAUAAUAGUAAUUUUUAAUUAUUAGAGGAAAAAAAACCAAAAACAUCAAACAUUUUAACCGAACAGACAAAAUAAAUAUUGAUUUAAAAUGAUAGUUAAUUUUAGGAGAUUAAAAACAAAAAAAAAACAACCUAAAACAAAACCGAUAUCCAAAUUAAACAGAUUAACUAGAUUUUAACCCGCACG